rnacentral:rRNA from 1 species
AGUGGAUGGGGAGCAACCUAGUUGUGCGUGUGUAAAGGUAGUGCCAAGAAAAGCGAUGAUCAUGUUGAAAAUCAAUUCCCGGUACCCGAAACCGACACAGGUGGGCAAGUAGAGAAUACUAAGGGGCGCGAGGUAACUCUCUCCAAGGAACUCGGCAAAAUGACCCCGUAACUUAGGGAGAAGGGGUGCCACCGAGAGGUGGUCGCAGUGAAGAGGCCCAGGCGACUGUUUAGCAAAAACAUAGGUCUCUGCAAACUCGAAAGAGGAGGUAUAGGGGCUGACGCCUGCCCAGUGCCGGAAGGUUAAAGAAGUUGGUCAGUCUUAGGAUUAAGCUAGCGACUGAAUCCCCGGUGAACGGCGGCCGUAACUAUAACGGUCCUAAGGUAGCGAAAUUCCUUGUCGGGUAAGUUCCGACCCGCACGAAAGGCGUAACGAUCUGGGCUCUGUCUCGGAGAGAGGCUCGGCGAAAUAGGAUUGUCUGUGAAGAUACGGACUACCUGCAUUUGGACAGAAAGACCCUAUGAAGCUUUACUAUAGCUUGGAAUUGUGUUCGGGCUUCCUGUGCGCAGGAUAGGUGGGAGGCGUAGAAGGUAUUCUUGUGGGGAUACUGGAGCCAACGGUGAGAUACCACUCUCAGGAGGCCAGAAUUCUAACUUAAUUAAGGACAGUUUCAGGUGGGUAGUUUGACUGGGGCGGUCGCCUCCAAAAAGGUAACGGAGGCGUACAAAGGUUCCCUCAGACUGGUUGGAAAUCAGUCGAAGAGUGCAAAGGCAGAAGGGAGCUUGACUGCGAGAAGUACAGUUCGAGCAGGGUGGAAACACGGUCUUAGUGAUCCGACGGUGCUGUGUGGAAGGGCCGUCGCUCAACGGAUAAAAGUUACUCUAGGAUAACAGGCUGAUCUCCCCCAAGAGUUCACAUCGACGGGGAGGUUUGGCACCUCGAUGUCGGCUCAUCGCAACCUGGGGCGGAAGUACGUCCCAAGGGUUGGGCUGUUCGCCCAUUAAAGCGGUACGUGAGCUGGGUUCAGAACGUCGUGAGACAGUUCGGUCCAUAUCCGAUGUAGGCGUGAGAGUAUUGAGAGGAGCCUUCCUUAGUACGAGAGGACCGGGAAGGACGCACCGCUGGUGUACCUGUUAUGAUGCCAAUUGUAAACGCAGGGUAGCCAAGUGCGGAGAGGAUAACCGCUGAAAGCAUCUAAGUGGGAAGCCCACCUCAAGAUGAGUAUUCUGGUGUAAGGUCACGGGAAGACGACCCGUAAAUAGGCACGAGGUGGAAGUGCAGAGAUGUAUGAAGCCGAAGUGUACUAAUAGACCGUCGGCUUGAC